GAAUUCGUCACGGGGACAAAAGACAGAGCACGGGGAAGAAUCAAUGGCAUUGGAAUAGGGUUGUGUGGGGACAGAUGGUAGCCACACUUGGGGUGAGCACAGCAUAAUGUCUAGAGAUGUUGAAUCGCCGUGGCGCGCAGGUGAAAUCAAUGCAACAUUGCGGGUCAACCACACUUCUGUUAAAAAACAAAGAUGGCUGGUUAACGAAUAGAUAGAUAAUAGAUAGCUAGGUAGGUGGACGGAGAUAGAUGAUAGGUAGAUGGAUAGGUAGGUAAAUAAAAAGCUUCCCUGUAACAAGCGAUAACCGUGAAGUAUUAAGAUAUUAAGAUCAGGUAGGAUGUACUAGUUAUAGGACAGUAGUUAAUAUAAGGAAUUGGCUAGACGGGCAUUGGGCAACAAGAAAAGUGUAAAGGGGACUAUGGCAGGAAAAGGAAAGUCCCCACAAUGUCUACCUCCUAAUACCCAGAACCCGUGCACACAUCAGGUUUCCUGGCGAGGGGGAAGGAACGCUAAGGGAACAGGUGGAUUUAGGGCAGUUCAUCAGCUACUUUAAGAUGGGGAGAGGAUCCUGGAGUACGCAGGUGGGCCCAGUAUAAUCACAAGCGUCUUUAUAAAGCGGAGGAGGAGGCAGAAGGGAGAAGUGGGGAGAGCGCGGUGAGAAAAGGUCUUGGCUCGGCAUUUCUGCUGGCUUUGCAGAGCGACGAGGGGCCAUGAGCUGAGGAACGCAGGCGGCCUUGGAAAAGGCAAGGAAAUGGAUUCUCCCCCAGAGCCGCCAGAAGGAACUCAGUCUACCAACACCUUGAAUUUAGCCCAGGGAGACCGGCAUUGGACUUCUGACCUCCAGAACUCCCUGCUCCUCUAGGACCAGCCACCAGGGACAGAAGCCAGCGUCCGGGGCCACUGUGGCCAAGUUGAUUCCCAGCCUGGCAGGGCUGUGGCCUACAUGGAAGGGGGCGGGGCUGUGUCGCCAGGAGCCCUACCUCUGGACGGAUCCAGGGGGGACAGCGACCUCCAGUGGCCAUGAGAGCUCACCUGAGAAUACAGGUACCUGUUACUUCCACGGGGGAAGGUCGACCUGGUUUACCUCCAGCCCCUCAGUUUUUCUCACCUCUGUCCCACCUUUCCUCUUCACCCUCUGCCCUGCCAAGGUGGGCACAGUUGAGCUGUAAAGAAACUUCUUUUGGCGAAGUAACCUGUCCGAGGUCUGUGCCUCCCUUAGAGACACGCACACAACAGGUGUGAGGGAGCCGACUGGACUACAGCAGAGCAACAAAGGGAACGUGCGGGUGGGAAGGGCUGGGCCACCCGUCCUCUACCCUCCGUCCUCCACCGUCCAUGCCUCCCUACUUGAAGUUUGCAGAGCCCAGGACUUGGAACCUACUUGUUGAAACGGACGCUGACAACUGUUUUGCUAAGAAGGGUUGACAGUACCAUUGACGAGCAGAUGUGAGCGCUCCCCCAAGGACAGCGGAAGUGGCCGCAGGGGCAGAAAUGAGUGAGGACCGGCCGUGACGGACGUGCCUGCCCCCGGCGGCACACGCUCGGUCUCUGCCCGAGCGCCCUUGCCCCGGUGGGCACCCCGCCCGGAGGCCGCUGGCACAGUGGCUCGGGCCCGGUCACCCACUGUGGUGUGAGGAGGCACCAGGAAUGGCCGGCAACACUGAGGAGCAAACACCCCGCCCGACGGCAGAUCCCGGGUGGUGAGUCGGUUCUUACCGCCCGCCCUUCAGGCCGGGCUCCUUUUGCAGCAGGCUUCCCCGGGGGGGAACUAGCCGGAUGGAAGCGGUUUUAGAUCAGGACGCAGGGUUACACGGCUUGGGCUUUGUCGGCUGAUUCUGUAACUUACAUCCAGUGGCGGCUGACAACUGAGUCGUACCUGGAAACACUACCUCAGGCUAAAGGUGCUCCUGGUCUGCCCCCCACCACCUUGUUGCUGCACAAGAGACAGAUGUGUAGACAAAUACGGAGUCAGGCCAGGAAAGCAGGCUCCCUCACCGAGAACACAGGACCCAUCAUCGCACCUCCUUGCACAGGAAUGGAUGACCACGAAAUAUCCCUCACUCUAGCCUCAGGGGGGGAAAAAACUUCAAGUUUAUUUUGAGAGCGAGCGGCAGACAGGGAGAGAGAAUCCCAAGCAGGCUCCACAGUGUCCGCGCAGAGCCUGACCCCUAACCGCCUGAGCCGCCAGCUCCCCCCACUGCCCCAGGCGCCCCCAGCCUCAGGAAAUUUAAAAUGAUCUUUCGUCUCUGAGGAGCCGAUGGCGUCUCACACGUUAUCUUUUCAAACACACAGCAGAGCUACCGUAUUAGGGGUGCCAGUGAGGACAGAGAGUAAGCCAAGAAAUGUAUUUGAAUAACCAGAAGAGAUCACAUGCGGGGAAAGCUUUCCUCUUAGGAUUUCUCAGUCGUGGCCGGCCGUCAGAAUUACUUGGAGCUCUGGGUGCCUGGGUGGCUCAGGGGGUUAAAGUGUCCGACUUUGGCUCGGGUCAUGAUCUCAUGGCUCACGAGUUCGAGCUCCGCGUCGGGCUCUGCGCUGACAGCUCAGAACCUGGAGCCUGCUUCGGAUUCUGUGUCUCCUCUCUCUGCCUCUCCCCCGCUCACGCUGUCUCAAAAAUAAACAUUAAAAACAAAAUUACUCAGCUUUUCAAGAACCCUGACCACGCCCCCAGCCCCAUCAGGCCACACGCUCUGGAGCAGGCACCCAGGUGACGGUAUCCUUGUCACCUGUUUGGGUGAUCUCAGUGUGCAGUGAAGGUUGAGAAUCAGUGGUCAAAACAGAUACCAUUUGACAUCUUAAAGUAUCUUUAUUCUGUGACCCACACCUGUGUCGUCAUAGCUGUGCACACAUUCACCGUCCCCCCGCCCCACCCCGUUCAGUCCACUGUGAAUCAUCCCUCGGGUGCCACUUUCCCAUCUAGACGGGAAGCAGACUCUUCUUCUGGGUAACUAGGUUAUGGAUUAAGCAACAGAUUGAUCCUCUUUCUAAUUCUUUCCUUUGUUGCUGCUGACCUGAGUUCAAAAGGGCACACUCCUCCACUCCUUGGCCACUUCCCGUCAGACUUGACUGGGGUUCCGUCUCUUCCAGACUGGGAAGAACGCCAGGGGUGGUGGGGGGAAGGCCUCGCUUGCACGACUCAUGCUGUCCGCUAUGCCAAAGUGGCAGGUGUCACACAUCCUGAAAUUCAACGGUAGCACCUCCUCUGGGUGAGAAGCAGCAGCGGGCGCUUCCAGACGGGGGUUCCACCCCGUUGCCGCAGGACCAGCAGCCACCGCGAGCACGUUUCCCAGGGACUGCCUCCUGUGGCCAGCACCUUGUGCACGCCCAGCCCCCAGGUCUGGUUCCCUCCCCGCAGGAGAGAACACACCCUCACCCGGAGAUGGGGAAAGCAAAGGCAGAGGCAAAAACUGCUCAGGAAAAGUUCUUUUAUUCUGAAAAAUCAAUCUGAAAAGUUAACCUAUUUGGAUACCAAACUCUAAAGGGAAAUCUCCACUCUCUCCCUGGGGAAAAAAAAAAAGGAAAUAAAUAUGCCAACAUAGCAACACGGUUCCUUCCAGCAGGAAGAGGGUGGCAGAGUCCCAUCUCGGACCCGUUUUUCCUACUUUAUUCUCGCCAGCUUUCCAGCACGAGCAUUUUUAUUACCUUUACAGUCAGGAAACUAACUCCUAAAAACCAACUAUUCAGAAGGGAACAUCAGCAGAAUAAACCUUCUCAAAUAACUUUCUCCUCUCUCAUGCCAGCUUUGGGAAGGGUCUGCUCGCAAAGCGUCUGCACUUUCCCUGUAAGUGUUUCAAGGACGGGCUCCCUGUUCCGCACUAGACAAGGCUGAACCGCUCCAGUUUCAGAAACUCAAAAGAAGAUCCGGUCUAUGAAAACGUUCACUGCUCCGAGGUAAGCAUGUGUCUUGAAUACAAGUGCAAACAUAGUUCUGGAGAAAAACUGGUCCAUGUGUAUCUUCUGUUACAGUAAACAAUUCACGAGUAUCCAUCAGGCUCCGCCUAUUGCCACUGGUCUCCGGUGUCCCCGGCCUAGCCCCCCCUCUCUGUGCACGGGGGUCCCCAGACCUGGCAGCCUUCGAGCAGCAGACAGAUCUCCUCAAGGCUCCAGACCUUGGGAACUUCCUUUGUGUUCACCAAGCCGAGGCCGCUUGGGCUCCGGAGGACUGUCCUGAGGGUCCCCGGGCGUCCCUAGAACAUUAACAAGCGCAGGUUGGCAAGUAAGUGAACAUUUGCUUAAAAUUAAGAGCUGAUACUCACAAAAUAAAUGUUGUGCCCAGACAAGAUACCAAGGGUCCUAUCUGAACAUAAGGGAAAGGAUCCGGUGGUUUUCAACUGGGGGCGAUCUCACCUGGGCAAUGUGUGGGGACACUGGAGAAUGUCACAAGUUGGGGCGGGGGUAGGGGGAGAAAUGGGUAUCGGCAUUCAGAGGUGCUAAGCACCCCACACUUGCAGGACAGCCCCCCCACACAGAAUUAUCUGACCCAGAUUGUCAAUAGUGCCCAGGUGGAGAACCCUGACCCUACAGCACCUCUGGAACCUGCCACCUACUCAGCUCCCUGAAUGCCUGCGUGGAAAGGUACUCUCCCUGCCGAGAAUAAACAGGCAGCCAGUGAAUCUGAAUGACGGUCUAAUAAGAUACAUCCCUGCUUUCUCAGAACUGACUUAAAAUUAGGUGGUUAAUUUCCAAAAGAACAAAAGAGAAAGAAUAUCUUGAAUUCUAUUAAAAUAACAGUAUCACUUACCUGGUUCAGUUUCUUCUGUGGAAGGGGUGGAGAUUAUACUAAUUGGUACAGAAUUUGGUGGAGUCUCUGUCUUUAAGGGUAGUAAAUUUAUCCUCCUUAAUUAAAAAAAAAAAAGUAGGAAAGAGGUACAUGGUUCAUUAGUAUCCUAAGAAUCAUUUAUGAUGAUGCCAAAUUUCAAAACUACCCAAAAGAAACAUUAAAAAUUUUCAGCUAAUCAUACCAUGUAGACAUUAAAUGUCGAUGUGCCCACUUAGUAACUAAGGACUAUGUUCAUGUACUAAGUUCAAUCAUUAGGCUUAGGAUAGUCAAUCGCUAGUCACCUAAAAGUUUCAAAACCCGUGUUUUGUUGAUCUGCAGUGGUAUGCUGAACACAUCACUGGACACCGCAUAUAUAAGGCUAGCCGACAAUGGUUUCUACUACGGAAAGCUCUGAAACACAGUUCUUGUUUAAAAUCCAAUCUUAUUUUUCAACAACUAUUUUUUUUUAAGUUACAACAGAAGACGACUCCAAGAAAUUAAGAGGGGAAAGGUUUCAUAAGAGUAUUUGAAAGAACACCUUCCCACUCCCUUCCUCCACCAAAAAACACAGAAAAACAAAAAAACGUUGCUAGUCUGCAGAACUCAGACACCCGAGAAGAGCCGAACGCUCCAUGUAAUCCAGAUUACAGACUGGCGAGUGAAGUCCCGGGCAGGGCAGAGGAAGCGAGACACGUGGUGCUUGUCAUCUGCUCCCUCCCCAGGACUCCCACAGGAUCAGACGGGGGACUUCCAGUCCUAGGAAGACCCCUGGACCCCAGCUGCCGUGCACAACAGAAGGGCUCUGUCUGCAGCACCGGCGGGGAACUCAGGCGGGCUCAGGAGCCAGAGUGACGUGAAGAGGGACAGAGACACCUGCAGCAUCACCCGGGGACACGAUCAGACCAGACGCUGCUUACCAUGAGCCAGUCCACAGAUGCAGUAAAAACUGCCUAAAGAUGUUCCUUUCAUUUUCCCGCCUGCUGCUCAGUGCCCAUGACUGUUCUGGGCAGGAGAAAACAGGUGAUGACUGGGGAACCGCUUCCUGCCUUAGGGGGCUGAUAACCUAACAGGGAAAACAGAAGCCUAACCAAACUCCUGCUACUGAAUGUGAUAUGUUAUGACAGAGGAAGGGCUGCAGGGACAUCCAGGGAGACUCCAGUGUCACCAGGGACGCAGAUGGCUGGGGCUCCCGGAGGAAGGUAAGGGCAGAGAGGCCCCUAGGGCAGAGUGUGCUCAGGGCCCU